rnacentral:rRNA from 1 species
CCUACGGGAGGCAGCAGUGGGGGAUAUUGCACAAUGGGGGAAACCCUGAUGCAGCGACGCCGCGUGGGCGAAGAAGUAUUUCGGUAUGUAAAGCCCUAUCAGCAGGGAAGAAGAAAUGACGGUACCUGAGUAAGAAGCACCGGCUAAAUACGUGCCAGCAGCCGCGGUAAAACGUAUGGUGCAAGCGUUAUCCGGAUUUACUGGGUGUAAAGGGAGCGCAGGCGGCACGGCAAGCCUGAUGUGAAAGCCCGCGGCCCAACCGCGGGACUGCAUUGGGAACUACCGGGCUGGAGUGCCGGAGAGGUAGGCGGAAUUCCUAGUGUAGCGGUGAAAUGCGUAGAUAUUAGGAGGAACACCAGUGGCGAAGGCGGCUUACUGGACUGUAACUGACGUUGAGGCUCGAAAGCGUGGGGAGCAAACAGGAUUAGAUACCCCAGUAGUC